rnacentral:rRNA from 1 species
UACGUAGGUGGCAAGCGUUGUCCGGAUUUAUUGGGUUUAAAGGGUGCGUAGGUGGCUCUGUAAGUCAGUGGUGAAAUAUCUCAGCUUAACUGAGAGGGUGCCAUUGAUACUGCAGGGCUUGAGUACAGAUGAGGUAGGCGGAAUUGACGGUGUAGCGGUGAAAUGCAUAGAUAUCGUCAAGAACACCGAUAGCGAAGGCAGCUUACCGAGCUGUAACUGACACUGAGGCACGAAAGUGUGGGGAUCAAACAGG